CUUCGAUGGACACCAUUCUUUUCAUUUUCCUUGUGAACAGUGUUGUUUUUCUUUUCCUCGUCACUUUUCAACCUCUCUCUCCUUAGUCUUCAGAUUAUGAUCAGUUUGCAAUUUGGUUCUUCUCUCUCCUCAAGGUGAGUUCUUUGAUUUACCCUAAUUUCUUGUAAAAUUUUGAUAUGUCUCCAUAAUUUUUGCUUUUGAGUUCUGCUCUCUUUUUCUUUUGUAAAUUUGUUGUUUCUUUCAAUUUUCAUUAUCGAUUAUCGUUUUUGAGUAGUAGCUAUGUGACUUCUCUAAUGGAAACGGCUUCUAACCUCGGUUCUUCCACCGUCGAUCGUAGUUUCCAGCGAACUCUUUCUCUCUCCUCAGUAAUCGAGCUCAGCUUUCUGUUUCUCUCUCCUGGUUUGUUAUAUCGCAGCUCAUUAUCACUCAUUUAACAUUAAUUUAUGAAUUUGGUUGAUUAUAGUGGUUUUGAUUGAACAUGAUUUGGAUAUUGUGCAAAAGGUAGGGUUUUUUUUUAUGUUUUUUAUUUUGUUGAUUUUUUUUUGGUUUGCAGCAAGAUGACGAGACUUCUAAAAUAGCAAGAGGGUUUUAAUUCUUCUCCCUUUUCUAUGAUUUGAAAUUUUUUAUUGUGUAUAGGACUUUAAAAUUCUUUUGAUUUUUCUGGUGUUUUAUUUUUGUUUUAUAAAAUAGUUAGGAUUUAGGUGUUUUAAUUUUGAGUUUGAUUUAGGAUUUCUGAUGAUUUUUAUAGAUUACCUAAUUGAUUAGUUUAAUUUUGUUUUUAGUUUCUCAAUUUUUAUUGAUUUAGGGUUUAUGAUGAGUUUUGCUUUUGGUUUGUAUCUUAUCAGGAGCAAUUCAGUCUAAUUCAUGUGAUGAAAGUCGGAAUAGGCAUGCAAGCAAAUAGAUGGAGUUUGGUUGAAUUCGGAAUAUGGCACCAAAAUGGAAUGCCUCAUUUCUUCUCCCUGUGAUUUUCUUUUCAGAUUAGUUUAUUCUUUCAAUGUCAUUUGAGGUUGUUUUUGACAAAUAUGGAUUUGAGGAAUGUAGCUUUGGAUUUUUUUUAAUGUUGUUUGAUCCGAGUUACUACAUCGAUUUUUAUGGAUGCAAGUAGAUUAGUAGAUUUAGGUUUUAAAAAAAUUGUUUCACUCGAUUGAUUAGUUUUUGGUUUCAAUUUCAUCGAUUUAUGUGAAAAUUUGCCAAGGAGCGGUGUGCUGAGCUAGAGGAAGAAAGCUAUAAUUACCAUUCAAUCAAAGUAUUUCCUACCAGAUUAUCAGUAAGAUUAUUUGACUCUUGGAUUUACAUUCAAAAAUGACUCCAAUUGGAAUCACUUUUGGCAGAUAAGGCUCGGUCGGCUUAAGAGAAUGCUUUCUAUACUCGUGAGAAUCGCUUUUCACCUGAGGUUGUUGAAUAUCAUCAGCUCACCAUGCAGACUGUUGUUUAUUUAAAUGAGAGGAGUGAAGAAAUAAUGGAAGUUUACCCUGCCAAAGUACCAGGUGGAACUAAUCUGAACACAAUAGCCACAAUGCCAUCUUUAUCACCUCCUGUUAACGCAUCUGAGAUUGUAUUAAAAGAUAACGCGACUUCAAAAUGAGGCACAUCAAGUGAGUCCUCUCUCGUCGUAUACACAGCUAGGCAUCCCUCCCUUUUCUUUUGGUCAAGUUCAUAAUUAGAAGAAAAAUAUAAGAGACCACGCCUCACUAAUCAAUAUCGACCUCACUUCAAUCGACUAGGACUCUGUGAUGCCUGUAUGGGGGACAUUGUGAUGUUUGAACAAACUGUUUAUGAAGGGUAAAUAAAUCGCCUAGAGGAGUGCUACUGGUCCUCCAUGCGGUAAGAGAAUUGUAGCUGGGUGUAUAGUGAAAGAAAGUUAUGGUGCUUCCAAGUAGCAGCAUACAUAUCUGGUUAAUUCUAAAUCAGUGGUUAGCAUACUACUUAUUUUAUAGUGUUACACUUUGUGAUUAGAAAAUGAACUAUAAUGUACUCUGUAGACUAGAAUUUCCAUGCUACAUCACAAUUUCACACUUUACACCCUUAUUCAGCUCAAUUUAUUAUCUUUGUGCCUCUAAUUAUGUAGCUUGGAGAUUCUUGGUCAAGGGACGGAUAUAGUAUUUCUAUUACUUGUACCUGUAGUAUAAUGUUAACAGACUCAUUUAUUUAGUGCUAAAUUCGUCAUCAAAUGGCGUCUUAUUCUUGCCCC